AAAUGUUUUAAAUGUUACACUCAUGGUCUUAUUAUCCAUCAACUUUGUCUUGCUCACUAUGCUUAAGGUUAGAGAGAACAAAUACACUUUUGGUUCUGUUGGUGUUUUCCACCAACAGGGCCCAUACACUUGAUCUCUGCCUUGUCUCUAUGAGCAGGUACACUUCAAGCAAAAUAUGAAGGAGUUUUACAACUCCUAGACUCCACCAAGUGAAGAACCUAGAUCUACGAGCACAAACACACUGGAGAUACUGGACACUAAGGCAAUCACUGCCCUGAGAUGCUUAAGGACGUUACUACUGGAGUAACCUCGUUGUGGAAGUAAUUACUGACCUUCUGCCAGUCAAGAGAGACAAUCUAGGACGCCCCAUCAUCCCGAUCUCCAUCGGCAUGCUUGCAGAUCGUACGCUAAGUUUCCCAAAGAGAAUAUUGAAGAACCUCUACGUCUGAGUUGGUACCUUAUACGCUCCAGCAGACUUCGUGGUGAUAGAGACUGAUACUGAUGAGAGGGCACCCAUCAUCUUAGGGAGGCCAUUUCUAAACACCUCAGGAGCUAUCAUCUACGCUAGUGCUGCCAAGAUCAGUUUCUACAUCAAGGGGAGGAAGGAGAUGUUUUCCUUCAAGAACAAGACACACAAAUCUCAGAGCAAUCCUGACAUGAACCAAGGAAUAGGACCAACAGGAGGAACAGAAACAAGCAAAUGUGGACCGAGUCAGCUAAAAUGGUCACUGCAAUUCAAGGAGGUCAAGACCAUCAACUCAAGUCGCCUUUCUUGAUCAAGAAGGAUGACCCUGGUGUUCCAAGCAUCGAGUGCACAAUCAACGGAUAUUCCUUUCAGAAGACACUCUACGACACUGGAUCUGACGUCAACAUAAUGGUCGCAGUCACCUAUCAACUCCUGUUCGGAACCAUGCCCCUAAAACCGACAUACAUUCAACUCCAGAUGGCAGAUCAGACAUUCCGAAAGGUUAUUGACAUGAGAGAAGACGAGUACAAUCCACCCAUCAUCCUUGGAAGACCGUUCCUCAGCACUGUUAAAGCAAUCAUCUACAUUGGAACCGGAGAAGUCCACAUGCAUUUCCCCUCUGAUAAGGUACGCCCCUAUUUUACUGACCCUAACUAUAUAGUUGAAGACUUUAAGCAAGUCAGGACAAGAAGAAGACGACACAACCGUAACCAGAGGAGGCAAAUCAUUAAGGACGGAUGGGCAGACUAUGAAGGAGAAGUCGUAAGGUCUGAAGACAUACAGCUUGAACAGAACUGUCCUGAGGAGACCGUAGCACCGAGUCAGGUGUGCAGAAAGAAGAUAGUUAUACACAAAGAGCAGGCUCUGCCGGAACCACCGACUAUGCCAUUCAGCAAAUCCCAGGACGACUGAGAAAACGGAGGGUCCCGUUCGGAGGACUUAAAAACACUGAACGCCUUGCCAAGAGGUAAACUUGGUAGUUAUCUUUUUCCUUUCAAUUAUUUUAAAAUAGUUUGCUUAGUUAAUCAGGUUCACAUCAUCUUGAAAAGAAAAUAAAAAUAUUAAGCCCCAUGUGGUUAUGCUCAUGGCAUAAAACCCAUAAGUACAUUCACUGUGGUGGCGUAAAAAUAAAAUAACUAUAUUCCUAUCCUAUAAAAAUAAAAUUAUAAAAAUAGAUUUAUGAUCCCACUAAAAAGAGUAAUAUUUAUUGAGGAGACUCAACAUGAUAAAGGCUAGAUAUUUAUGCUAACACUUAACUAGUUCCACAAGCUUUGUUGUCUAUUUGAGCUCCACAAAAUUCAAGGAUCAAAGAAGACUAGCAGACGGAGGACAUCCUAGUCGCCGUCACGGUGCUGCUGACAUUCAAAUAUACCUUCGCCAUCUGCUAGCUACAUCAGAAGGAAUUACGUCAAAAUCCAGCUUGGGGGAGAGCACCUCCAUUUAUCCAGCUAAGUAUUCUACUCACGUUUAUAUUUUACUCAAAUAAUAAAAAGAUGCAUAAUCGUAAAAACCCAAAUAAAGAUUUUGUGCUUAUAUAUAUAUCUUUGCUUAGUUUGCUAAAUAAAUAAAUAAAUAAAAUUUGCUAUGAACCCUCAUGAUGAGCUCUCACAUGGAAAGAUGAAUAGUUGCUCUGCCAUGACUAGUUCUCAAAAUUGAAAUCUCUCUCAAGUUUAGGCAUCACUGUUAUUAAUUAAGAUUUGCUCUAAACCUGAACUUGUGGGAAGAGUACUUGAUCUGAAGUCUAAGUCGUUAACGGAUAUGAUAUGGGAAGGUUGAGCUGCUGUUUAUCUGUUCCUAGAGAUGCUAGAAUUCUGGAGAAUUUUAUCUUUGAAAAUCUUUAAAAUAUCACAUGAUGAGUUCCUGUAUGAUGAGAGUUUAAAUUCCUACCACAGCCAUAUAUACAUGCUUGCUAGACUAUGAGCCACACAUUUACUUUUUACUGCUUAUGAGCAUUGAGUGUGGUCAAGCUUUGUAGACCCUUAGGAGCUUGUCAUGUGGUUAAGUCAAGAUUCACUUGCACGUUCACUCAUACAUGCUACUUCUACCCUGGAAGUACCAUCCACAUAUACCCAUUCCCAUCUCCAGAACCACCCAAAAAUAUUCUACUCCUAAUCCGGGAGAGAAUAGCCAAAAAUAUUUCUAUUUUUUCCCUAUGAAAUAAAUGCUCAAGUUAUCUUGUCACUACCACUUGCUAUAUUAUCUCAUGAGAUGAGUGCUCUAAAGAAAAAAGAGAAAAAAAAAGAAGAAUACGAGGAAAUAAAAAGGGGCAAUUGCCCGGAACCUCGAAAGAAAAAAAAAGAAAAAUAAGUGAGACGAGAGGUAAAAAUGGACAAGUGUCCGACAGUAGAAUUAGGGGUACAAGAUACCCACCUGAGAGAAAAGAAAAAAAGAAAAAGAAAGAAAAAAGAAAAUAUAGAGCAUCUCAUUCUCCUCAAAAAGUUUCAAAAGAGCAAGAAAGGUAUGUAUCCCCUCAAAAGAGCAUAAGUAGAAUUAGACUUUCACCAUUGUUAUCACCAUCAUCACCAUACACCAUUCAUUCGCCACACAUGCACAUCUUGAUUUGACUUAUUGACUUGUUCUUCUGGAUCCAUGGUUUGACUAUGCAAUAUAUGUCUUGUAAGUAUGUAUUAGCUGUCUCCCACCUAUGAGCUCCAGAUAUCAAAACCUUAUUAGAGUAGGGUGAGAGAGAAGGCAAUGUCACUAUGCCUUAUACCACAAAUACCACAUACUUUGAGAGAAGGCAUAUACCAUUACUGCCUUGGUAAGGAUCCAGAAAUACCACAAAAGAGAGAGUAGAGAGAGUCAUACAAGGAAUCUCUGAGUUUUAUUUGAAAAUCUGCAAAAACUCCAGAGCUAUAGUUAAUCGAAAAACAAGAGACAUGGUGCUUGACUAGACUGUUCUAUCUUUUAACUACUAAAGACAGAAGUGAUGGUUACAAGUCCCAUGGUGAAAGGUAAAUGAGUAAGUUUUAAGUCUUAACAGUUUACUCUAACCAGAGAUGAGAUCUUGUUUAAACACAUGUGUAUCUUUAAGUUAUGAAACCACUGCAGAAACUCUUGAGUCCAUCUUUGCUUAGGGACGAGCAAAGGUUAAGCUUGGGGGAGCUUGUUGACGGUCCUUAAUGCUCACAUUUAACCAUAAACUAAUCAUGGAAAAGGAUCCAAAUGCAACCAACACCUAGACUUAGGGUUUUAUCUGACAGAAUUCCACGAGUUUUGGUGUUUGUCUAUUUCUGCAGGGGGUUAUCAGGAAAUACGGAAGAAAGGCCCACACAUCGGGUUUACAUAGAGAUAUUAACGUGCCGCGUAAUUUUCUAUCAUCUAGAAGACUCCAGAAGCCACGGGACCGAACGGAAGACGUAACGGAGCCGGGCACUGGGCGCCCGCCCUCCCCCCUGGACCAAUCAGGGCGAAGUUCGGGGAUCAUGCUCCACCGACCUAAUACUUCAAGGAAAACCACACGAUCAAUGUCGGUUUGAUCCGACGGCCCAGAUUCACUUGAAGGGACUAUAAAACCAGACCCCCCUAGCCCCUGGAGAUCGUACCUCUUCUACAGAAUCAAAGCUAGGGUUUCAAUUCUUCAUCCAAGUAGAGAGGAUCCCUCUAGUUCUUCUAGUUCUACCUCUAGUUCAUCUAGAUCUAGUUCUAGUUCAUCUAGUUCUAGUUCUAGUUUCUCUAGUUCUAGUUCUAGUUAGUUCUAGUUGUAAUCUAGAAAAUAGGCAGAGAGAAGAGGAGAGCAGAGGAGGAGCCGGAUCUGUCGGAUCUUCCUCAACAUUAUACUUUUGCAGCAUCUGGUUCGUUCUUCAUCGUUCUCCAGGUUCUUCAAUUCAUAAUUCCUGAGUUCUUUAAUUACUUUUAAGUUAUUUAUUGGAUUCCCGCUUGCAUCAAGUGCUCUAGUCUUUAUAACGCUAGAGUAGUAAUUAAUAGAUUAGACGUGGUGUUUAGUCUUGCGAUUACCUGGAAUUGCACCCAAUCCCACGGAUUGUUGUGGUAGCCCUAGGGUAGUGACAGCCCUAACGGUCGACGUAUUCGACCACGUUCGGAUCGGUGUUUGUAGGACCGUAGUCAGACCUUCCUAGCCCCCUUCUCAUCUCUUUCUGUGGUUAGUGCUCUGAUGUCCCGAUAUAAAUAAUCUUUGAAGUAAUUCUUGAUUCUUAGAUCAACUAGAGAACUCUCAGGAAACUUCCUCUGUUCCCACCAAAAAUAAUCAUAUAGUUAUCCUUGGGCGAUCUUGGAUCUUAAUUAGUACACUCACGUUCCCUGUGGAAAAUCGAUACUCUGGAAUACUCCCGGGUGAAAGCUACAUCGGUAUCCGUGCGCUUGCGGAUUUUUCUGUUUGCGUUUAAAAUACCCAACAAGCUUUCUGGCGCCGUUGCCGGGGAACGGUAGCUGUACUAGUUUCGAACAAAGUCGUCCGUGUAUCCUUUUUCUUUUCCUUUUUCACCACACUCACCUUAUCAUUUUCACCAUACCACAUGGAUUUCACUCUAAGCAUUAAUGAGCAUGGAAUUUAUUUCAUAGCCACUUCAUUUACUCCAUGCUCAUAUGCAACAUCUUCACAAUCCAUUGGUUUUUCCAACACCACCACAUUCGAGAUCUCCAACCCCCUCAUCCUUUCUAUUUAUAAAAACUUUAAAAGGGCGGUUGUCGAUGCAUAUGUCUAUAAUAAAUUUUGCAGAUCUCAUUGAGUUGAUCUUGAUAUAGGUCAGCGUGGGAGGGGAAACCACUUCGCCGACAUAAAUUGAUGGUUUCCCAAGGACAAGCUUAGUGUCCUAAAAUAAGCACUGAUCAGACCGUAACAUGAGCUUUUAAUUAUUUGCAACAUUACCUUGUGUGUUGCGCAUAUAAGAAUAAUUGUAAAAAUAUUCCUUUGGAUAUUCUUGUCACUAACCUUUCUAGGAUUGGAGCAAGAAGAUCGGAUGAAUGACAAGCACAAGGUAUGUCCAACCAAUCAUCAUACAACAUUGAAUUAAAUUCAUCCAAACUUGAAUUUUGCAAAAUUCAAGCUUGGGGGAGACUUUACAUGAAACAUCCUUUGCCAUGUUGCUAUGUUGGUUGUCCCUACCUUUGAGACAUGCUCAAUUUGUUAAAUACUAAUCACACUACUUCAUCUCCACUUGAGUAGAACUCUAUAAAUGCUCUCAUGCUACCUUUAUUUGCUUUAGUAUAUGUCUAGGUUUGGAGUCGUUUCAUUUAUCUCUUAAUUAAGCAUGGUGCUUAGUUUAGGGCUGAUGAUCUUAUUUCCGAGGGAGUUUAAAUUAAGCAUGAUGCUUAGGUUAAAAUGCCCUCCUAAAUCAAAUUAGACAUGGUGUCUAGGUUGAUCUUUGAGCCGAUAGUAUGCUAUAGUAAACAUUGGAUAUUUUGUUGGACUAACCCCUGCAGGAAAACUUUCAAUAUCGACCUGGGAAGUCCUGAGACAAACUCACAUUGGAGAUAAAGAGAGAGGCACAUGAAGUUUAACAAUUUACACAAGGAAGGCAUAGGUCACAAGAGAUGAUCCCUGGAGGGUGCCACAAACACGAUGCACAACCGCUAAGAGAGGAAAGCUUCCACAAGGUGAUACUGUACCAUCACUCUUCAAGUAAGGUAACAUCUUAAUGUACUUGACUAUCACUUUUAUAAGCUUCUCCUUAUUUCUGGCAUUCACAUGAAUAAAAGAGACAAACAUGUAUGAUCUACAACUCUAGAUUAACCAAACCAAUCGAUUCAAUAUGUUUAGUCCUUCCACCGUUGUGAUCCCACACUCCUAAUCAUAUGAGCUAAAAUGUUGCACAUGCAAUCUUUGGAAGAUAUAUAUAAAAAAACAACAUAAGUAUAGAUAGAUUAUCUUUCCAUUAGGUUGAGUGAUCUGAUCUGACAAAUGUUUUAAAUGUUACACUCAUGGUCUUAUUAUCCAUCAACUUUGUCUUGCUCACUAUGCUUAAGGUUUGAGAGAACAAAUACACUUUUGGUUUUGUUGGUAUUUUCCACCAACAGGGCCCAUACACUUGAUCUCUGCCUUGUCUCUAUGAGCAGGUACACUUCAAGCAAAAUAUGAAGGAGUUUUACAACUCCUAGACUCCACCAAGUGAAGAACCUAGAUCUACGAGCACAAACACACUGGAGAUACUGGACACUCAGGCAAUCACUGCCCUGAGAUGCUUAAGGACGCUACUACUGGAGUAACCCCGUUGUGGAUGUAAUUACUGACCUUCUGCCGGUCAAGAGAGACAAUCUAGGAUGCCCCAUCAUCCCGAUCUCCAUCGGCAUGCUUGC
rnacentral:lncRNA from 1 species